rnacentral:tRNA from 1 species
GCCUGGGAAAUGAGGGUCAUAUACAGUUUCGGCCUGUAAGUUGAAGAGGUGUCUUCCUCAGGUU